GGGAUUGUGGCUCAGUGGUAGAAUGCUUGCCUAGCAUGCAUGAGGCACUGGGUUCGAUCCCCAGCAACACA
rnacentral:tRNA from 1 species